UGCUCAGGUGAGGACUCCGUUCGGCUCCUGUCUGCUGACACCCGAAGCUUUCUCUUGGUCCCUCGGUCCCGUUUUGAAGUUACUCGGGUCCCUGGCUGCCUCCUGUUCCUGGAAGAUUUCAUCCUUGGCAUUUGAAUGGGACGGGGGUGGGGGUGGGGCUGAGACGUGCACGAUCCUCUGUGAAUCUGGUUGAAUAACCCCCAGACCUCAUCCCCCGACAGCAGGACCCCUGUCAGACAAAAGGAGCCCGAAGCUGCCGGCGCUGCUCAACUUCCCUCUGGGAAAGACACCAGGAAUCCCCUCCGGUGAAAACAAAGCAGAACGAAAGCUCUCGGUGCGGAACGGCGGGGACAUUUCUCUCCGGUCACUCAUUUUGAUUGAAUCGAGUCGCCGUCUCUGAUCUGGUUCACCCACCGAUACAACAA